ACCGGGUGCGGUGGCACACACCUGUAAUCCCAGAGGCUUGGGAGGAUGAGGCAGGAGGAUCACGAGUUCAAAGCCAGCCUCAGGAAAAGCGAGGCACUAAGCAACUCAGUGAGACUCUGUCUCUA
rnacentral:sRNA from 1 species